UACGGAGGGUGCGAGCGUUAUUCGGAAUGACUGGGCGUAAAGAGCACGUAGGUUGCGACAUAAGUCUAAUGUGAAAUCCCUGAACUUAAUUUAGGAAGAGCAUUGGAUACUGUGUUGCUAGAGUAUAGGAGAGGAUAGCGGAAUUCCUGGUGUAGAGGUAAAAUUCGUAGAUAUCAGGAGGAACCACAGGGGCGAAGGCGGCUAUCUGGACUAUAACUGACACUGAGGUGCGAAAGCGUGGGGAGCAAACAGG
rnacentral:rRNA from 1 species